rnacentral:rRNA from 1 species
UACGUAGGGUGCAAGCGUUGUUCGGAAUUAUUGGGCGCAAAGCGCGUGUAGGUGGUUAGAUAAGUCGAUUGUGAAAUCCCUGGGCUCAACCGAGGAAGUGCAGUCGAAACUAUCUAGCUGGAGGACGGUAGAGGAAGGUGGAAUUCCUAGUGUAGAGGUGAAAUUCGUAGAUAUUAGGAGGAAUACCGGCGGCGAAGGCGGCCUUCUGGGCCGUUCCUGACACUGAGACGCGAAAGCGUGGGUAGCAAACAG